rfam:Aedes aegypti strain Liverpool supercont1.40 genomic scaffold, whole genome shotgun sequence.
CCUCUCGUGAUGUAGGGAUAACGCGCCCUAUCUGGUGAACAGGGAGUCGUGAGUUCGAUUCUCACCGAGAAGA